rnacentral:rRNA from 1 species
UGGGGAAUUUUGGACAAUGGGCGCAAGCCUGAUCCAGCCAUGCCGCGUGCGGGAAGAAGGCCUUCGGGUUGUAAACCGCUUUUGUCAGGGAAGAAAUCUUCUGAGUUAAUACCUCGGGAGGAUGACGGUACCUGAAGAAUAAGCACCGGCUAACUACGUGCCAGCAGCCGCGGUAAUACGUAGGGUGCAAGCGUUAAUCGGAAUUACUGGGCGUAAAGCGUGCGCAGGCGGUUUUGUAAGACAGAGGUGAAAUCCCCGGGCUCAACCUGGGAACUGCCUUUGUGACUGCAAGGCUUGAGUGCGGCAGAGGGGGAUGGAAUUCCGCGUGUAGCAGUGAAAUGCGUAGAUAUGCGGAGGAACACCGAUGGCGAAGGCAAUCCCCUGGGCCUGCACUGACGCUCAUGCACGAAAGCGUGGGGAGCAAACAGGAUUAGAUGCCCUGGUAGUCCACGCCCUAAACGAUGUCAACUGGUUGUUGGGAAGGUUCCUUCUCAGUAACGUAGCUAACGCGUGAAGUUGACCGCCUGGGGAGUACGGCCGCAAGGUUGAAACUUAAAUGAAUUG